CGGACGCGUGUACCGUAAGGCUGACGGGCGCACCAGGUAUCGGAUGUGCUAGCAUCGUGGCGUCCGUGUAUAUAAUGGGCAAAGUCCUCUAGGUGUGGUGGCGUAUACCUGUUCCUUUUUGGCACGAUGUGCAGAGGCGAUGCCCACGGGCUUUUCGAUGGUUGCAUCACGCCUUGCUCAAUCAUGGGCUCAAAUUUCACUUUUACCUGCUUGAGCCUAUCCGGUGCGAGGCGGCGGAGUUGUAAAUUGGCGGGCCUGGCUUGUAUCACGCUGUGUCGAGCCUUCUCUUUCCCGUAAAUCAACGGACGAGUGAGGCGGGGAAAUUCCGCUAGCAGUUGGUGGUACGCUGAAUCAUCGGUUUUUAUCGACGGGACGUUGUCCGCGGCCGCGUGUCCCUUCGAAGAUAACUGAGUCGUCGUAUCUAGAAGUUUUUUAUUACGUGGCUGCACGAGCAACCCGAAGUGACUUAGGAAAUCCAUGCCGAUAAUAGGUGUUUGGACGUCGGCCACGGUAAAAUUCCACUUAAAGGCACGCCGUAGGGACAAAUUCAGGUGGAUCGCGACGGUCCCGUACGUUGCCAUUCGUGUCCCGUUAGCCGCGAACAACUCGUACUCGCUGUUUUUCGCGGGUCCGCGGAUUUUGCUGCGCGGGUGGACGCCAAUGUCGGCGCCGAUGUCUACCAGAUACAAAAAUGCGGCGGGAUAUCAAGCCGCCGUCGUUCGCCACGUUCACGGACGGCUGGCCGCGUUUCCCGAAUUCCAAUUGCACGGUAAGUUGCAUCUUCUCGCGCGUUGCCGAAACGUCGCGUGGUAGCAAUGUGGCGAAUCGGUAUCAACAGGACGCCGACAGGUCGAGGCAUCAACGCGGCGCAACACCUCCCUGGCGAUCCGCGGGUACCAACCGCCAACGCCAGAGGGCUACGACGACAACGAGUCUGUUUAUCUCGCUAGUGGUCGAAUAUACGGGGCCAUGAUACAAAUACCGCACCUAGCGAGACUCCCUCUACGCCUAAGGCAGGGACUACCGGGCAUAGCCUUACUGACGAGUGCACCGGUAGUCCCAGGACGAAACGCAAGACUCUCUUUUCACCACCUAGCUCCAACUACACCUCCUACAGAAACAUAACCUAUCUUGCCGCGAAGGGUCUCGGGAUCUCGAACAGCGGCGGUAUCUUGUAUGACAGCGUGAUCGUGGUCGCGGUUGUCGACGGUUAUCCAUGCACAACGCGUUCAUUUGCGCUUGCAUGUGAUUCAUCUGAUCUCUUAACGCGCUGAUGGCGGCGGCGGUCGAAUCGCUCGUCCCGACGUUUUAUACAGGUGGACAGCUUUCCGCUGUUAUCCGAUCUGUGCUAACCACAGCAAUUUGUCCUGGGUCCGGUCGUGGAUGCUGUCGGCGAUUCGGGUCAGUGUUUCGGGCCUCUUAUUCUGCACAGAGGCCAGAACCGGUAGCCGGCUUUCCCACACGGUGAGAACGAAAUCAUCUGGUGUUGCGGGGGUGGCGAGGCUCCUCAAAUCCCCGUAAAAUUGGGAAGGCGUUCUGUCACCUAUUUGCUCGUUUUCAAUUAGCUUCAAUCUUUUGCAGACUUAAGAGCGGCGUUCGACAGACUAAACAGAAAGAAACUGGAGGAGAAAAUGAGGAAAGUGGGGAUUAGCGAGAAACUAACCCGAAGAGAUAUACGAAGAAACAAGGAAUGUAGUGAGAGUCAAGAACCACAACACAAGAGAAUUUUGGACUGUGAGGGGAGUCAGACAAGGGUGCCCGUUGAGCCCGACUUUAUUCAAUAUCUACGUGGCAGGACUGGAAGAAGAACUAGGGAAAGGACAGGCUGGGGGCAUAGUGGUAGGAGAAAGAAAGGAAGCCGAAUUAUAACUGAGCACGGAAAAGACCAAAAUAGUAGUCUUCAAAAAAAAAAAAAAAAAAAAAAGGAACAAAA